AAUCCGUGUUGAGGACACUUUCGAAAGAGCUCCUUGAAUCACUCCCAAGUCUCAAACAAGGAUUCAACUCCAUCUGAACAAACAAUGAUAUCUCAUUACGAAGCUU